GAUGAAGAACGCAGCAAAAUGCGAUAAGUAAUGUGAAUUGCAGAAUUCAGUGAAUCAUCGAAUCUUUGAACGCACAUUGCGCCCGCCAGUAUUCUGGCGGGCAUGCCUGUUCGAGCGUCAUUUCAACCCUCAAGCACAGCUUGGUGUUGGGACUCGCGCUAAUUCGCGUUCCUCAAAUUGAUUGGCGGUCACGUCGAGCUUCCAUAGCGUAGUAGUAAAACCCUCGUUACUGGUAAUCGUCGCGGCCACGCCGUUAAACCCCAACUUCUGAAUGUUGACCUCGGAUCAGGUAGGAAUACCCGCUGAACUUAAGCAUAUCAAUAAGCGGAGGA
rnacentral:misc_RNA from 1 species